CUCCUGUACUGCUGACUCCACAUCUGGACACAGAACUGCAGGGCUAAAAUAUCCGUAACGCAAAGCGUGAAGCGUGGAAUUUGGUCCUGCUGUGGGCAAGGUAACAAUAUGAAGGGUAUGAGACAAGGUCAGGUCACCCUGCGGUUAUGCAAAGAGCUGUGCCCCGCUAUAAAAGUGUGACUGUGAGGACUGGUGGAAGACAAGGAGGUAAGUGCUGCUCCCCAAAAUCACACAUUCCUCCUGUGCAUCUCGCUUGGUACCUCCUGAUUUGCCCCCAUUCCUCACUCCCAUACUCUGCCCCCUCGUCAUAGGGCAGCAGUACAUCAUUGUGCUCAAGAUAACUGUGAGAAUGUCAAACUAACACAGGGCUGCUGCCUUCCUGUGCAGAGCAUCCCCUCAAACCUGUGUGUGCUCAGUGAGCCUGAAUGGGGAGAAAAAAACAGCUGGAGAAGAAAGAGAAGGUUAAGGCCCAGAAGGGCCGAGCGAGGCUGUGAAGGACCAUUGGAACUUGAAGCAGGGCCCCAAUCCACGGUAAUGUCAGUUUAUAAUAACCUGGGCAUCACAGAAUUGCUGCUGUUUGACUUCAGGUCAUUGUCAGUGUAUUGCCCGCUUCCGUCGUGCUCUGUAGUGCCCAAGCAGCAAGCCUGGGCUUCCUCUUUGAUUCCGUAACUUGAUAUGCUGCUUACAACGCAGUGAAUCCCAUACUUUUGGGACACUGUGAAUUUGCUGUGUAUUCGCCGCACAACUGCAUUCCUGCUUCCUGGUCAGGUUUCCGGCACACGAGUUGGACAAUAGGUCAGCACAGGUCUUGGGGAUGUGUCCAGGUUUUCCAAACAUGCAGCCUUCCCAUUCAAGCUACUGUAUAAUCUUCAGAAAUCUAUGCAAGAAAUUUUAUUCAUGUCAGAAAAAGAAACCCCCUAGAAAACGUGAACACAGGGCAGCCUCGAGUGAGAGCCUCAAACACAGUGUGAAACAUUUGCCAAGCUGCUGAGGAGAAAUGCCAUCAACUCUCAGCUCUGGAGUUUUUAAGACUGGACAAACAUGUAUCAGAGUGAAGAGGGACAGCCUAACCCAGAUCCUUCCCAGCUUUACAUUCCUGUGAUUCUCUGCAAGGAAGGACUGGUAUGACGCUGCCCUGGCAUGAGGAACAGCAAGCACAGUCUGUUCUCUGCUCUGCAGCCUGUUCUGCACCAGACUCUUCCUGGGACCAGUGCAAAACCCAGGACAGACUCCAUGCUCAGCCCAACAGGGCUGCACACUGCAAAAAGGGGAUUUGUAUGCAGUGAGACUGUGCAUGCAUGCAUGAGGGAAUUUGCAGAGGCAAUGGUGCUCUCCCACCGUAAUGCAGAGCGAGGCUGAAACAUGAUGAGGGUCUUUGUCUGGUGUUUUUUUGUUGCUGGGUUGUGGGGUUUUGUGUGUGGUUUUUUUUUUUUCUUUUUCAGGAUUAAAAUGGGCAGAACAAGAGUCAGUUGUUGUUUUGGGGAAGAGGAAAGCGGUUGCUGUCAAAACGUUUCACCGACUUGGCAAAAUUGCCAAGCUGGCCCUGCCUGCAGCGCGCACCAACUUCAAAGGGUUGAUCUUGAAUAAGGAUUAGCGGGAGCCAGAUCGCUGCUUCCUACACGCAUUCUGCUGAGGGAUAAUAAUACCACUAUCUUUGGGAUUCUGGUGCUCUAAGACUCACAGAAGACUCUACUUAUUUAAAAUGUUACAGCAACAGGCAACUUGUGAUUCUCGUUAUGAACAAAUUCUGUAUUUUAAUUAUUUGCAAAUCACCUCUUACCUAUCUUGCAGUU